rnacentral:lncRNA from 1 species
ACGCCUUGAGCUGAGAGGGGACCCGAGGCCGGAGCCGCACAGGACACAAUUAGAGGCCCGCAAUGACCCAGCUCUCAGGGUACCCAAGGCGUCAGUGCGCCUGACUCUGCGGAGGCCGCUCCCCGCUCAGUCCUACAGCCCAGAGGCAGGCGAUGGCAGCAAGCCCCGCCCCGCCCCAGCCGAGCGCCAGCCAAAAGCUCAAACCCCCAGCCUGGUCACCCUCAGCAACGCCCCGCCAACUCCGCCUCUCCUCUUACAUCCGCCUCGGCGACCUGCCUGCGCAGCGCCCCGGAAGUACGUCAUCUGCCGGUGACCCUGACCCUACUUCAUUUUCACGGAAACUUGGAGUAGACGCCACAACUUGAGGUGCGCAGGUUCUCUGUGAUGUGUAAUGACAGCUGUUGUAGUGUUGGAUUAGGGCCAGCCCACGAAAGGACUAUUCUCGAUGCCCCUAGCAGUUAUAAAUACAUUGAGAAAGCCUCUGGAUCUGAAAUCUUCAACUGGGAAAGUACAAUGUGUUCAGUAAUAUUCCGCUACUCUUCAAAAGCUGAAGCGAAAGUGAUGGAGUGCUUACCUGGGCCAUCAGAUGAGUCAAACGGACACUACCUUAGACAUACACAGGCGCUAGUUCCAGUCAAGAGCCUAUUGCUGCUAUCAAUAGUGUGAAUAUGACCCUCACCUGUAAAACAAGAACAGUAACCUACUUCGGCCACCAUGAGAUGAACAGACUUCCUCCACCACACGCUUCUGCCGCUAUGAUCUACUGUACCAACACAGGUCCAAAGCAACAAGGCCCAGUGACUGCAGACUGAGACUUCUGAAGCUAUGAAGUUUCUUUUAAGGAAUUUUCUCAGAACAACUGCACCAUUUUGCACUCCCACCAGCAAUGUCUGGACAAUUCAAGUUCAAGAGGUGUGGCUGACUUUGUGGUUUGCCCUAAUUUGUGGAGUAAGAGUAACAGGAAAUGACAACAAGAAUAACAACAGCUCUAUUGUAUGUGGCACAUCAGGAAAUCCUAUACCUUCCUCACCAUCAUCACCCCCUUUCAACAACCCACACCCACUGCUUGCUAAUGCACAGGACCCAGCUCUAAUCCCAGAGAUACUUCUCAUUACUGUGGUAUCCAGCACAGUUGUGUUGCACAAGACAUCUGAGAAACAUUUCACAAUACUGCAUGACACAUCCUCUUCCUACAUGUCUAGAAAGUUGAGACUCUGGUGA